rnacentral:tRNA from 1 species
GCCCGGAUAGCUCAGUCGGAUAGAGCAGCGCUUUCCUAAAGCGCAGGUCGCAGGUUCGAUCCCUGUUCCGGGUG